rnacentral:rRNA from 1 species
AUACGUAGGGGGCGAGCGUUGUCCGGAAUGAUUGGGCGUAAAGGGCGCGUAGGCGGCUUUGCAAGUCAGUAGUGGAAGUCCAUUUUUCAAGGAUGGAAGUGCUACAGAAACUGCGGAGCUUGAGUGCAGGAGAGGUUAUCGGAAUUCCCGGUGUAGCGGUGAAAUGCGUAGAGAUCGGGAGGAACACCAGUGGCGAAGGCGGGUAACUGGACUGCAACUGACGCUGAGGCGCGAAAGUGUGGGGAGCAAACAGGAUUAGAUACCCUGGUAGUCCACGCUGUAAACGAUGAUGACUAGGUGUGGGGGGACUGAACCCUUCCGUGCCGCAGUUAACACAAUAAGUAUUCCGCCUGGGGAGUACGGCCGCAAGGUUGAAACUCAAAUGAAUUGACGGGG